rnacentral:rRNA from 1 species
UACGUAGGGUGCAAGCGUUACUCGGAAUUACUGGGCGUAAAGCGUGCGCAGGCGGCUUUGCAAGACAGAUGUGAAAUCCCCGGGCUUAACCUGGGAACUGCAUUUGUGACUGCAUGGCUGGAGUGCGGCAGAGGGGGAUGGAAUUCCGCGUGUAGCAGUGAGAUGCGUAGAUAUGCGGAGGAACACCGAUGGCGAAGGCAAUCCCCUGGGCCUGCACUGACGCUCAUGCACGAAAGCGUGGGGAGCAAACAGG